rnacentral:rRNA from 1 species
UACGUAGGUGGCAAGCGUUGUCCGGAUUUACUGGGCGUAAAGAGCGCGCAGGCGGUCGUUCAAGUCGCGUGUGAAAGCCCCCGGCUCAACUGGGGAGGGUCACGGCGAUACUGAUCGACUCGAAGGCAGGAGAGGGUAGUGGAAUUCCCGGUGUAGUGGUGAAAUGCGUAGAUAUCAGGAGGAACACCGGUGGCGAAGGCGGAUCUCUGGGCCUUACCUGACGCUGAGGCGCGAAAGCUAGGGGAGCAAACAGG